rnacentral:rRNA from 1 species
UACGGAAGGCAGCAGUGGGGAAUAUUGCACAAUGGGCGCAAGCCUGAUGCAGCCAUGCCGCGUGUAUGAAGAAGGCCUUCGGGUUGUAAAGUACUUUCAGUCGUGAGGAAGGUGUUAAGGUUAAUAACCUUAGCAAUUGACGUUAGCGACAGAAGAAGCACCGGCUAACUCCGUGCCAGCAGCCGCGGUAAUACGGAGGGUGCGAGCGUUAAUCGGAAUUACUGGGCGUAAAGGGCACGCAGGCGGUUAAUUAAGUUGGAUGUGAAAUCCCCGGGCUUAACCUGGGAAUGGCAUUCAAGACUGGUUAGCUAGAGUCUUGUAGAGGGGGUAGAAUUCCAUGUGUAGCGGUGAAAUGCGUAGAGAUGUGGAGGAAUCCGGUGGCGAAGGCGGCCCCUGGCAAAGGACUGACGCUCAUGUGCGAAAGCGUGGGGAGCAAACAGGGAUUAGAUACC